GGCAAUCUGCCCUUCACUCUGGGACAAGCCCUGGAAACGGGGUCUAAUACCGGAUAUCACUUCCACUCGCAUGGGUGGGGGUUGAAAGCUCCGGCGGUGAAGGAUGAGCCCGCGGCCUAUCAGCUUGUUGGUGAGGUAAUGGCUCACCAAGGCGACGACGGGUAGCCGGCCUGAGAGGGCGACCGGCCACACUGGGACUGAGACACGGCCCAGACUCCUACGGGAGGCAGCAGUGGGGAAUAUUGCACAAUGGGCGAAAGCCUGAUGCAGCGACGCCGCGUGAGGGAUGACGGCCUUCGGGUUGUAAACCUCUUUCAGCAGGGAAGAAGCGAAAGUGACGGUACCUGCAG
rnacentral:rRNA from 1 species